rnacentral:rRNA from 1 species
CCUACGGGAGGCAGCAGUGGGGAAUAUUGGGCAAUGGGCGCAAGCCUGACCCAGCAACGCCGCGUGAAGGAAGAAGGCUUUCGGGUUGUAAACUUCUUUUCUCAGGGACGAAGAAAGUGACGGUACCCGAGGAAUAAGCCACGGCUAACUACGUGCCAGCAGCCGCGGUACGACGUAGGUGGCAAGCGUUAUCCGGAUUUAUUGGGCGUAAAGGGCGGGUAGGCGGGAGCGCAAGCCCGAUGUGAAAACUCAGGGCUCAACCCUGAGCGUGCAUUUGAAACUGUAUUUCUUGAGUGCUGAAGAGGCAAUCGGAAUUCCGUGUGUAGCGGUGAAAUGCGUAGAUAUACGGAGGAACACCAGUGGCGAAGGCGGAUUGCUGGACAGUAACUGACGCUGAGGCGCGAAAGCGUGGGGAGCAAACAGGAUUAGAUACCCCAGUAGUC